GGCUUUUAUUUCAGAGGGGAUUUUCCCUUGGUCCAUUGCCAUGCACCACUGCUUGUACAUUUCAAGCUCUUCUCUGAGAGCACAGAUGGCUCGCUCUCGGCUUGAAACCAGCUCUUCCAGGUACUGGUACCUCAGCUUCUUCCUGGCUCUACACUCUCUUGCACUCUGACGACUUCUUUCAAGUUUUGCCUUCAAGUCUAUUUUGGCUGGUUUACGACCUCGCUUUCCUGGUUUCUUUACUUUGCCUCCAACCACCUUACUGUCAUCCAUGUGCCCCGCCAGCCCCCGCAGACCCACGCAGAGUGCACAGAAGCCGCCUGCCCGCAGCCCCGACGCUCACUGUCCCACAGCCGCCGCCAUCGCGCUCCGCG
rnacentral:lncRNA from 1 species